CAUUCCAGAAUUGGGCAGAGUUGUAG
rnacentral:rasiRNA from 1 species